GCCAGUUUUGCUCAGUGGGUAGAGCAUCAGCCUGCAGGCUGAAGGGUACUGGGUUCGAUCCCAGUCUGAUA
rnacentral:tRNA from 1 species